AGAGUUUGAUCCUGGCUCAGAUUGAACGCUGGCGGCAUGCCUUACACAUGCAAGUCGAACGGCAGCGCGGACUUCGGUCUGGCGGCGAGUGGCGAACGGGUGAGUAAUGCAUCGGAACGUACCUUUCAGUGGGGGAUAACGUAGCGAAAGUUACGCUAAUACCGCAUAUUCUGUGAGCAGGAAAGCAGGGGAUCGCAAGACCUUGCGCUGAUAGAGCGGCCGAUGUCAGAUUAGCUAGUUGGUGGGGUAAAGGCUCACCAAGGCGACGAUCUGUAGCGGGUCUUAGAGGAUGAUCCGCCACACUGGAACUGAGACACGGUCCAGACUCCUACGGGAGGCAGCAGUGGGGAAUUUUGGACAAUGGGCGCAAGCCUGAUCCAGCCAUGCCGCGUGAGUGAAGAAGGCCUUCGGGUUGUAAAGCUCUUUCGGCCGGGAAAAAAUCGCUUGGGUUAAUACCCUGAGUGGAUGAUGGUACCGGAAUAAGAAGCACCGGCUAACUACGUGCCAGCAGCCGCGGUAAUACGUAGGGUGCGAGCGUUAAUCGGAAUUACUGGGCGUAAAGCGUGCGCAGGCGGUUUUGUAAGACAGGCGUGAAAUCCCCGGGCUCAACCUGGGAACUGCGUUUGUGACUGCAAGGCUAGAGUAUGGCAGAGGGGGGUGGAAUUCCACGUGUAGCAGUGAAAUGCGUAGAGAUGUGGAGGAACACCAAUGGCGAAGGCAGCCCCCUGGGCCAAUACUGACGCUCAUGCACGAAAGCGUGGGGAGCAAACAGGAUUAGAUACCCUGGUAGUCCACGCCCUAAACGAUGUCAACUAGGUGUUGGGUGGGUAAAACCAUUUGGUACCGUAGCUAACGCGUGAAGUUGACCGCCUGGGGAGUACGGCCGCAAGGUUAAAACUCAAAGGAAUUGACGG
rnacentral:rRNA from 1 species